UGGGAAUUUUGGACAAUGGGCGAAGCUGAUCCAGCAAUGCCGCGUGUGUGAAGAAGGCCUUCGGGUUGUAAAGCACUUUUGUCCGGAAAGAAAUCCUUGGCUCUAAUACAGUCGGGGGAUGACGGUACCGGAAGAAUAAGCACCGGCUAACUACGUGCCAGCAGCCGCGGUAAUACGUAGGGUGCAAGCGUUAAUCGGAAUUACUGGGCGUAAAGCGUGCGCAGGCGGUUUGCUAAGACCGAUGUGAAAUCCCCGGGCUCAACCUGGGAACUGCAUUGGUGACUGGCAGGCUAGAGUAUGGCAGAGGGGGGUAGAAUUCCACGUGUAGCAGUGAAAUGCGUAGAGAUGUGGAGGAAUACCGAUGGCGAAGGCAGCCCCCUGGGCCAAUACUGACGCUCAUGCACGAAAGCGUGGGGAGCAAAACAGGAUUAGAUACCCUGGUAGUCCACGCCCUAAACGAUGUCAACUAGUUGUUGGGGAUUCAUUUCCUUAGUAACGUAGCUAACGCGUGAAGUUGACCGCCUGGGGAGUACGGUCGCAAGAUUAAAACUCAAAUGAAUUGACGGGGUCAUA
rnacentral:rRNA from 1 species